GACGAACGCUGGCGGCGUGCUUAACACAUGCAAGUCGAACGGAAAGGCCCUGCUUUUGUGGGGUGCUCGAGUGGCGAACGGGUGAGUAACACGUGAGUAACCUGCCCUUGACUUUGGGAUAACUUCAGGAAACCGGGGCUAAUACCGGAUAGGAGCUCCUGCUGCAUGGUGGGGGUUGGAAAGUUUCGGCGGUUGGGGAUGGACUCGCGGCUUAUCAGCUUGUUGGUGGGGUAGUGGCUUACCAAGGCUUUGACGGGUAGCCGGCCUGAGAGGGUGACCGGCCACAUUGGGACUGAGAUACGGCCCAGACUCCUACGGGAGGCAGCAGUGGGGAAUAUUGCACAAUGGGCGGAAGCCUGAUGCAGCAACGCCGCGUGCGGGAUGACGGCCUUCGGGUUGUAAACCGCUUUCGCCUGUGACGAAGCGUGAGUGACGGUAAUGGGUAAAGAAGCACCGGCUAACUACGUGCCAGCAGCCGCGGUGAUACGUAGGGUGCGAGCGUUGUCCGGAUUUAUUGGGCGUAAAGGGCUCGUAGGUGGUUGAUCGCGUCGGAAGUGUAAUCUUGGGGCUUAACCCUGAGCGUGCUUUCGAUACGGGUUGACUUGAGGAAGGUAGGGGAGAAUGGAAUUCCUGGUGGAGCGGUGGAAUGCGCAGAUAUCAGGAGGAACACCAGUGGCGAAGGCGGUUCUCUGGGCCUUUCCUGACGCUGAGGAGCGAAAGCGUGGGGAGCGAACAGGCUUAGAUACCCUGGUAGUCCACGCUGUAAACGGUGGGUACUAGGUGUGGGGUCCAUUCCACGGGUUCCGUGCCGUAGCUAACGCUUUAAGUACCCCGCCUGGGGAGUACGGCCGCAAGGCUAAAACUCAAAGGAAUUGACGGGGCCCCGCACAAGCGGCGGAGCAUGCGGAUUAAUUCGAUGCAACGCGUAGAACCUUACCUGGGUUUGACAUGGAUCGGGAGUGCUCAGAGAUGGGUGUGCCUCUUUUGGGGUCGGUUCACAGGUGGUGCAUGGCUGUCGUCAGCUCGUGUCGUGAGAUGUUGGGUUAAGUCCCGCAACGAGCGCAACCCUUGUUCACUGUUGCCAGCACGUUAUGGUGGGGACUCAGUGGAGACCGCCGGGGUCAACUCGGAGGAAGGUGGGGAUGACGUCAAGUCAUCAUGCCCCUUAUGUCCAGGGCUUCACGCAUGCUACAAUGGCUGGUACAGAGAGUGGCGAGCCUGUGAGGGUGAGCGAAUCUCGGAAAGCCGGUCUCAGUUCGGAUUGGGGUCUGCAACUCGACCCCAUGAAGUCGGAGUCGCUAGUAAUCGCAGAUCAGCAACGCUGCGGUGAAUACGUUCCCGGG
rnacentral:rRNA from 1 species